rnacentral:piRNA from 1 species
UAGUUGGAUCCGAGUUACCUUGAUGAAAUC